rnacentral:rRNA from 1 species
AGGACGAACGCUGGCGGCGUGCUUAACACAUGCAAGUCGAGCGGAAAGGCCCUUCGGGGUACUCGAGCGGCGAACGGGUGAAUAACACGUGAGUAAUCUGCCCCUAGCUCUGGGAUAGCUCCGGGAAACCGGGAUUAAUACCGGAUACGACCACCUUAGACAUCUUUUGUGGUGGAAAGAAUUUCGGCUAGGGAUGAGCUCGCGGCCUAUCAGCUUGUUGGUGGGGUAACGGCCUACCAAGGCGACGACGGGUA